UGAACAGGACUGUUUUAGUGAUUAGCUGCACUAUGAUUUCACUGGUUGAUAAACUACGCAUUUUCUUCAGUUUGAUAUUAGUAUCUGUGCAAAACUACAUUCUUUUUAGGUGAAUCCUUAUUUUCUGAGGAAGAGAUUGACAAGAUCUGGGAAGUUCGAUUGUCUGGUAUGGAUAUGGCUAGUAAAAUUGAAGAAGAAGAAAAGUUUGUGGAGAAAGGUGUAAAAAGGUUUAACGAAGAGGAUGUCGAACCGAGACCAGGUUUGGUUGAUAGAUACAACUGUCUUAAGCAUGAAUUUGGCACUACUAUGUUGAUUUUAGAGUGGCUAAGCUCCUUUAAGAGAAAGUAACAGAAAAAACGACUGUAGAGCAAACUGAUCCCAGGGUGACAAUCGCAUAUCCCAAAUGGACAUGACAUUAGAAAAAUUUACCCCUCUCUCUUCAUCUCCAUCUCUCUCUCUCUCUCUCUCUCUCUCUCUCUCUAGCAUUAUAA